UUCCCCCUCACAGCUCUGAGGCCAUAACCCCAACUCCCAACACAAGCAGAAGCACAAAAACACGGCAAACACUCUUCAAGACGUUUUAUUUUCUAACAGACCAACUGUGCCACGCUCCAUUUCUCCCCUUCUUGGCUUUCCCACCCCCCAGAGCCCCCCAGCAAGCACCCGCUUCACACAGACACCCCAUGGCAGAUGGCACCGUAAAGCCAGCCCCACCUACAGCCUUUCCAUAUGUGAAAUGAAUAGGACAGUCCUCUGCAACACAGCCGUCUGCCCAGCAAAGUGCUCUAAAGCAUUGGGGUCUUCUUGUGAAGAAAGCACGCAGGCACUCAGACCCUGGGCUACUCGGACCCCUAUGUUUCAAUUGGACACCCAGACACCUCUGUGGGCCUGGGCCUUGGAGCCUAUCUCAUACAGCACCUGGUACUGAUCAGGAUUCCCAGGCACUUGGGGAAGUUUCACCUCGGUUAAUCCUGGCCAGGGAACCCAAAGCCUAGAGUUAGCGGCAUCUAUUAAGGCAGAGUUCAAAGUGGUUCCGUCCCACUUCUUCCUCUACAGCACGCUUCGUAUCUUUGUGCCUAUCACUGCAUUUGGAAGCAUCUGGAAUUUCAUCUCUAAAGGUUCUGAAAAGCAGAAUGGCAAAGUGGAGGAAAUGCAUAUGUAGUCCAGCUUUGGAUUUUUCAGUUAUUUUCUCAGCGUCCCACCUCGUGGCGCCAGUGGGAUUACAACAGGAGAGCCGCUGCCUCCUUCUUCGCCGGCCUCGUGAUGCUCACCUAUGGGGCGAGCACCUUCUUCAGCUUCCGUGCCUGGAAAGGACUCGGCAGCAACGCAGCCACCAGCCAGGCGGCCAGCCAUGCGUGAGGCCGCCAUCAGUGGCGCUGUCCAUGGUGCUGCAGUCACGCCGAUCAGCGCUGUGCUCUCAGGUGACGGCGAGAUGCCGAGGGCCCGCCGAGGCUGAAGCUCCUGGUGGUCCUCACACGGUGCAGAGCAGCCAGCUGCUCACUGGAACACUUGUACCCAGGGGGCUCACCCCAUUGGGUGCACUCCAGUACUAACAUUCACUAAACCAAGCCCACGUGGCUGCCUGUGGUCAUGCACAGAUGCGGUGUAAAUAAUUGCAAUUAACUUCUGUCAGUGGGGGCAGAGCUGGAAGAUGAAGGCUAGGCCAAGAAAGAAGUCUAAACUGUUAUCACACUGAUCUUAACAAUAAAGAAGUCAAAGCACAGUUUUAUGCUUUAAAUAAAUAUCUUCCUAAAUCCAA